CUACUGGAAACGGUGGCUAAUACCGCAUAACGUCGCAAGACCAAAGAGGGGGACCUUCGGGCCUCUUGCCAUCAGAUGUGCCCAGAUGGGAUUAGCUUGUUGGUGAGGUAACGGCUCACCAAGGCGACGAUCCCUAGCUGGUCUGAGAGGAUGACCAGCCACACUGGAACUGAGACACGGUCCAGACUCCUACGGGAGGCAGCAGUGGGGAAUAUUGCACAAUGGGCGCAAGCCUGAUGCAGCCAUGCCGCGUGUAUGAAGAAGGCCUUCGGGUUGUAAAGUACUUUCAGCGGGGAGGAAGGUGUUGUGGUUAAUAACCGCAGCAAUUGACGUUACCCGCAGAAGAAGCACCGGCUAACUCCGUGCCAGCAGCCGCGGUAAUACGGAGGGUGCAAGCGUUAAUCGGAAUUACUGGGCGUAAAGCGCACGCAGGCGGUCUGUCAAGUCGGAUGUGAAAUCCCCGGGCUCAACCUGGGAACUGCAUUCGAAACUGGCAGGCUUGAGUCUUGUAGAGGGGGGUAGAAUUCCAGGUGUAGCGGUGAAAUGCGUAGAGAUCUGGAGGAAUACCGGUGGCGAAGGCGGCCCCCUGGACAAAGACUGACGCUCAGGUGCGAAAGCGUGGGGAGCAAACAGGAUUAGAUACCCUGGUAGUCCACGCCGUAAACGAUGUCUACUUGGAGGUUGUGCCCUUGAGGCGUGGCUUCCGGAGCUAACGCGUUAAGUAGACCGCCUGGGGAGUACGGCCGCAAGGUUAAAACUCAAAUGAAUUGACGGGGGCCCGCACAAGCGGUGGAGCAUGUGGUUUAAUUCGAUGCAACGCGAAGAACCUUACCUGGUCUUGACAUCCACGGAAGUUUUCAGAGAUGAGAAUGUGCCUUCGGGAACCGUGAGACAGGUGCUGCAUGGCUGUCGUCAGCUCGUGUUGUGAAAUGUUGGGUUAAGUCCCGCAACGAGCGCAACCCUUAUCCUUUGUUGCCAGCGGUUAGGCCGGGAACUCAAAGGAGACUGCCAGUGAUAAACUGGAGGAAGGUGGGGAUGACGUCAAGUCAUCAUGGCCCUUACGACCAGGGCUACACACGUGCUACAAUGGCGCAUACAAAGAGAAGCGACCUCGCGAGAGCAAGCGGACCUCAUAAAGUGCGUCGUAGUCCGGAUUGGAGUCUGCAACUCGACUCCAUGAAGUCGGAAUCGCUAGUAAUCGUGGAUCAGAAUGCCACGGUGAAUACGUUCCCGGGCCUUGUACACACCGCCCGUCACACCAUGGGAGUGGGUUGCAAAAGAAGUAGGUAGCUUAACCUUCGGGAGGGCGCUUACCACUUUGUGAUUCAUGACUGGGGUGAAGUCGUAACAAGGUAACCGUAGGGGAACCUGC
rnacentral:rRNA from 1 species